rnacentral:rRNA from 1 species
GAUGAACGCUGGCGGCGUGCUUAACACAUGCAAGUCGAACGAUGAAGCAGGAGCUUGCUCCUGUGGAUCAGUGGCGAACGGGUGAGUAACACGUGAGUAACCUGCCCCAGACUCUGGGAUAAGCACUGGAGACGGUGUCUAAUACCGGAUACGAGCUUCAGCCGCAUGGCAAGGAGCUGGAAAGAAUUUCGGUCUGGGAU